rnacentral:misc_RNA from 1 species
UUGGGCUUAGUUUUGUAGAUAUUCUAUGUCAACAGAUAUUAAGGCGCUAAUAUUGGCUCCAAAUACUUUCAAAAAAAAUUUCAAGUGAAGCUUUCCAUGAGCUCAUAAUCUAGAUAGUAACAAACUACCAUCAUUAACAUAACAACUAAACUUUUGACAACAACAUCUGAAAUGUUUCAUCAAAUAAACUAUUAGCCUGCUAAUUGCCAAUGACUUGAAGAAUCAGCAAAAGCAGGUCGGCUAAAGCCCAACUAAGUCUCAGUGUUCAUCGACUGACAAAAUACAAAAGCUGCUCUCAGGCCCCAACCCUUUUCUUUUUUUAACAAAAAUGCUUGGUGCGGUGAGUCACUACGGUGAACAGUAUUG